AAAGUAGAUCCUCAUCAUCCAUGUUAUAUAAGGUGAUUAUUGAUAUCAAUUGAUGGUUUCAAAGCUCUCAUUGGUUAGACUCCACGGUCUUGGGAAGAAAAGGAAUGAUAAGGUAUGGUAUUACAUGGAGCUUUGUGGUGGAUUAUGAAUAGGAGGAGCUUGUCCAAAUGGAUGAACCAUGUCCAAAUGGAUGAACCAUGCCCUUGUCCAAAAUUAUGGGAUCUCAUCUUUGAAUCCCAAUUGAAGCUAAUUAUAUCAUACAUAUGAAGAGACAUACUAUGCACUGUUGAAUAGAAUGCAAGCAUCAAACUGUGAGAAUGUUAUAGAUUAUGGUUUAUUGAUGGAGAUCUAUUACAUUGGCAAACAAGAAUGCCUUAGGAACAUUCCAAAAUUUCAAGCCUUUUCAGAUGGAGGAACAAAAUCUUAAGGCAUCAUCUUAAAAUUCCAAUGCUUAAAUUGUGGUGGGUUAUGAAUGGGACUGGGUGGACUUGGACCAGAUGGGGGAACAGGACCCUUAGGCAGCAUCCCAAAAUUCAAAUUCUUAAUUUCUGGUAGAUUAUGGAUUGGUGGCUUGCCCCCAGAUGGAGGAACAGAACCUUUAGGUAGCGUCACAAAAUGUAAUGGUGGUAGGUUAUGAAUGGAUUUAGUGGGUUGAGAAAUGGGAAUGUCUUUGGGUGGAAUAGCAGAAUUCACAAGUUUGUAUGUGGAAGAAGCCCAUUUCAGCCUUUCAUUGUCCACAUCCAAACCAGAGGAAUGAGCCUUGGUAUCCAACUUGGCGUCAAGAAAACAGAAAGCAAAAACAAGUAACAACAGAAGCACAGAGAAUACCCACAAUGGAUUUCUUCUAGCUUCUGCCAUUCUUUCACUGGUUUCUUAGUCUCUAGUGCCUAGUGCUUCAAAACAUGUUGCAUAACCCCUUUAAAUAUGAAUAGACUAGUAGACUACCCUUUGAGAAAGAAAUGAUUUUCAUUACACUCUACCAUUGAUUAAUUGAAUUUCAAUGCAAAUUUAUUUGUUCCUUCAAUGUUAGAUAUCACAUAAUUAGGAAAGAAAUCAACCCAGAUUUUCUAUUUUCCUUUCCAUUUAAGGCACCAUUUCCUU
rnacentral:misc_RNA from 1 species